UACGAAGGGGGCUAGCGUUGUUCGGAAUUAUUGGGCGUAAAGGGUGCGUAGGCGGUUCCGCAAGUCCUGUGUGAAAUCUCCUGGCUCAACUGGGAGCUUGCAGGCGAAACUGCCGUGCUGGAGUGUGGGAGAGGUGCGUGGAAUUCCUGGUGUAGCGGUGAAAUGCGUAGAUAUCAGGAGGAACACCUGUGGCGAAAGCGGCGCACUGGACCACAACUGACGCUGAGGCGCGAAAGCUAGGGGAGCAAACAGG
rnacentral:rRNA from 1 species